GAUGAACGCUGGCGGCGUGCCUAAUACAUGCAAGUCGAGCGAACAGACGAGGAGCUUGCUCCUCUGACGUUAGCGGCGGACGGGUGAGUAACACGUGGAUAACCUACCUAUAAUACUGGGAUAACUUCGGGAAACCGGAGCUAAUACCGGAUAAUAUAUUGAACCGCAUGGUUCAAUAGUGAAAGACGGUUUUGCUGUCACUUAUAGAUGGAUCCGCGCCGCAUUAGCUAGUUGGUAAGGUAACGGCUUACCAAGGCGACGAUGCGUAGCCGACCUGAGAGGGUGAUCGGCCACACUGGAACUGAGACACGGUCCAGACUCCUACGGGAGGCAGCAGUAGGGAAUCUUCCGCAAUGGGCGAAAGCCUGACGGAGCAACGCCGCGUGAGUGAUGAAGGUCUUCGGAUCGUAAAACUCUGUUAUUAGGGAAGAACAAAUGUGUAAGUAACUAUGCACGUCUUGACGGUACCUAAUCAGAAAGCAACGGCUAACUACGUG
rnacentral:rRNA from 1 species